rnacentral:lncRNA from 1 species
AGCAAGUAUCGUCUCUGGGGAAAUCAAUUAUGGGCCAAUGCCAGACAUCCCUGUGCCUUGGGUCACGCUCUGUCCCUCACCCCCACCCCCAAUACACAAAUCACUUCCUGAGUCACACCCAGUGCUCUCAGCCUCCCCUCCUUGCUCUUGGCCAGGCUCCAUCAGUGCUGACUAACCCCUUACCUCCUGCCCCCAGCGCUGCAUCACACGAUGAUGAGAUUGUGAGCCUGGCUGCAUAUGACGCUGAAUCCAGAGCUGAAAUGCAGAAAGAGCAGGAAAGAAGACACAGUGACGAUUCUGUUAGCUCUGGGCCGCCUUGCUCUUCCUGCACCGCUGGCUAAUUGGACAGCAUGUGUGGACAGCUUCCCAGAUGAUAGCCACUGGUCGGACUAUGACAAAAGCCGGCCCUCUGGUCAACUGUCACUGAGGCCACCAGAAAAAUCACGACUCAGAUCACACCAUGUGGCUGAGCCAAAGACUGGUGGGACAUGUUCAGCGCUCACAGGGACACCUUUCCAGAGAUGUGGUGAGCAGAGAUGGACAGAGGCUGCUGGUCCAUCUCGACGCCACUUCCAGGGUUCAGCUUGGAGCCUGUCGUCCUUACAGCCUGGGGACAUUCUAAAUGUCUGCUAUUACCGGCACCUCCUCCCACCCCAAGAGGUCAGAAACCCAGACACGGGACCAGGGCCACCUGACCAGCUCACAGGCAGCAUGCCUGGUCAUCUCCAGCAGCACUGCCAGCUACAUAAUAAUUUUUAACUGUAGUUUUGCAACUGCAGUUAGUAAUCAAAAGUCAAAAGUCUUACAGUAAAUCCGAUAAGAGAAACAAAGUAACUACCAGAAAAGGGAGGAAUUCAAGUGAGGAAAAGGGUUAACAGGACCAGCUCAGGCUGAGCCCGUUGAGACUGAAAAGCUUGGCUCACAUAUCCUCUGAGAGAAAAUGUGAGUGAGGAGGUCAGCCAUCGUAAGGCAUCAGGACAUAAACAAACCAUUUUAGACCAAACUGUUUCCUGGAAGGGAUUGCCUCUCAUUUUUAUUACAUCCAAAGUGGAUGGAGGUAUGGCAAAAAAAAAAAAAAAGAAGAAGAAGAAGGAAUAAAGACUUAAGGUUUUAUGGAGAAAAUUCUGAG